ensembl:lncRNA
CUUUCAGUAAUUUAGUGGGUACAGGAUCUAAUAAACAUGUUGUUGGUUUAGAUGCAGUGAUAAGUUUAUUUAGCUCUUCCUGUCCUAUAGUUGUAAAGCACUGCAGUUUAUCUUUGGGUGCGAUGGAUAAAACUAAAGUAUUAGACGCUGUAGAAUCUACAUUUGUUAUUGUAUUUCUGAUGUUAUCUAUUUUAUCAGUGAAGAAAUUCAUAACGUCAUUACUAUUUAACUGUGAGGGAAUAUUUAGAUCGGGUGGCGUCUGGUUAUUUGUUAAUCUAGCCACUGUGCUAAAUAAAAACCUUGGAUUGUUUUGGUUGUUUUCUAUGAGUUUGUGGAUAGGCUCGGCCCUGGCAGUUUUUAGAGCCUGUCUAUAGCUGGACAUACUGUUUUUCCACGCAAUUUUAAAAACUUCCAAGUUAGUUUUUCUCCAUUUGCGCUCAAGACUACGAGUUUCUUUCUUGAGAGUUGGUAUUACUUUUGUACCAUGGCACAGUACUUUUUUCUCUAACCUUUUUCAAUUUGAUGGGGGCAACAGCUUCUAAUGUAUUAGAGAAGAUAGUGCCAGUCAUUUUGUCUAGUUCAUGUGUAUUUAUGGGUACACAGAGCAGUUGAGAUAAAUCAGGCAGGUUAUUUGUGAAUCUGUCUUUGGUGGCUGGAACAAUAGUUCUGCCCGGACGAUAACGCGAAGCUAUAUAGUUAUUAUCAUCAAUACGCAAAAUGCACGAUACAAGGUAAUGGUUAGUAACAUCAUCAAUUUGAGGUACGAUAUCUAUGUCAGUAAGAUCGAUUGUGUUGUGCUAAGUUAAUUUUGUUGUGUUGUGGCUUGUUUCCGUUGUGUUGUACUAAGUUUAUUUUGUUGUGUUGUGGCUUGUUUCUGCUGUGUUGUGCUAAGUUAAUUUCGUUGUGUUGCGGCUUGUUUCCGUUGUGUUACAGCUUCAUUCUGUUGUGUUGUGCUAAGUUAAUUUUGUUGUGUUGGGGCUUGUUUCUGUUGUGUUGUCCUAAGUUAAUUUCGUUGUGUUGCGGCUUGUUUCUGUUGUGUUACAGCUUGUUUCUGUUGUGUUGUGCUAAGUUAAUUUCGUUGUGUUGCGGCUUGUUUCUGUUGUGUUACAGCUUGUUUCUGUUGUGUUGUGCUAAGUUAAUUUUGUUGUGUUGGGGCUUGUUUCUGUUGUGUUGUGCUAAGUUAAUUUCGUUGUGUUGCGGCUUGUUUCCGUUGUGUUACAGCUUGAUUCUGUUGUGUUGUGCUAAGUUAAUUUCGUUGUGUUGUGGCUUGUUUCCAUUAUGCUGUGGUAAUUUCAUUGUGUUGCAGCUUGUUUCUGUUGUGUUUUGCUAAUUUCUUUGUGUUGUGGCUUGUUUACUUUGUGUUGUGGAGAUUUCAGUUUGCUGUGCACUACUGGGCCACCAUAGGAUGGGGAACUAGGCACUGGUAAUCUUUAGAAAAGCAUCAUAAAAGUGCUCUGUAUGACUUGUGCAUGAUAUUUAAAUCUACUGAAGCCAUACUGUAGGUGUGAGAAAAAAAAAGUUAACUUGCCAUUUACAGACAAAAUUACCUUGAAAAUCUUGCUUGACAGCCGUGGUCACCAUUCUAGAGCCAGACAGACAUUCUAUGUCCUAACAUCACACUCUAUUUCAUAUGGAUUUCGAAUAACAGAAAUUUCAUUUUUG